GAUAAACGCUGGCGGCGUGCCUAAUACAUGCAAGUCGAGCGAACAGACGAGGAGCUUGCUCCUCUGAUGUUAGCGGCGGACGGGUGAGUAACACGUGGAUAACCUACCUAUAAGACUGGGAUAACUUCAGGAAACCGGAGCUAAUACCGGAUAACAUGUUGAACCGCAUGGUUCAACAGUGAAAGACGGUCUUGCUGUCACUUAUAGAUGGAUCCGCGCCGCAUUAGCUAGUUGGUAAGGUAACGGCUUACCAAGGCAACGAUGCGUAGCCGACCUGAGAGGGUGAUCGGCCACACUGGAACUGAGACACGGUCCAGACUCCUACGGGAGGCAGCAGUAGGGAAUCUUCCGCAAUGGGCGAAAGCCUGACGGAGCAACGCCGCGUGAGUGAAGAAGGUCUUCGGAUCGUAAAACUCUGUUAUUAGGGAAGAACAAAUGUGUAAGUAACUAUGCACGUCUUGACGGUACCUAAUCAGAAAGCCACGGCUAACUACGUG
rnacentral:rRNA from 1 species